rnacentral:rRNA from 1 species
CCUACGUGUGGCAGCAGUGGGGAAUAUUGGGCAAUGGGCGCAAGCCUGACCCAGCAAUGCCGCGUGAAGGAAGAAGGCUUUCGGGUUGUAAACUACUUUUAAGAGGGAAGAGCAGAUGACGGUACCUCUUCAAUAAGCUACGGCUAACUCCGUGCCAGCACACGCGGUAAUACGGAGGUGGCAAGCGUGGUCCGGAUUUACUGGGUGUAAAGGGUGUGCAGCCGGGAAGACAAGUCAGAUGUGAAAUCCCGCGGCUCAACCGGGGAACUGCAUUUGAAACUGUUUGGCUUGAGUACCGGAGAGGUGAUCAGAAUUCCUGGUGUAGCGGUGAAAUGCGUAGAUAUAAGGAAGAACACCAGUGGCGAAGGCGGAUGACUGGACGGCAACUGACGGUGAGGCGCGAAAGCGUGGGGAGCAAACAGGAUUAGAUACCCCUGUAGUC